UACGUGGGUGGCAAGCGUUGUCCGGAUUUACUGGGCGUAAGAGCGCGCAGGCGGUCGGAUAAGUCGAAUGUGAAAGCCCCUGGCUCAACCAGGGAGGGUCAUUCGAUACUGUUCGACUCGAAGGCAGGAGAGGGAAGUGGAAUUCCGGGUGUAGUGGUGAAAUGCGUAGAUAUCCGGAGGAACACCAGUGGCGAAGGCGACUUUCUGGCCUGUUCUUGACGCUGAGGCGCGAAAGCUAGGGGAGCAAACGGG
rnacentral:rRNA from 1 species